rnacentral:rRNA from 1 species
CGACCGGGUGAGUAACACGUGACUAACCUACCCUACAUGGGGGGAUAACCUCGGGAAACCGGGGCUAAUACCGCAUAACAUCGCAGAGUGAAACUCUUUGCGAUCAAAGGAGCAAUUCGCUGAAGGAGGGGGUCGCGGCUGAUUAGCUAGUUGGUGAGGUAACGGCCCACCAAGGCUUUGAUCAGUAGCCGGCCUGAGAGGGCGCACGGCCACACUGGAACUGAAACACGGUCCAG